CACUGUAAUAUAUACCGGUCUCUGCAUACGUCAUCUUUUAAUAUCCAUCCGCACUCGAAAAUACUCCCCACUGCUCCGAACCGCAGUAUAUCAAUGCGGCGGAGUGAUAUCUCCCUACCCAACGGCUCUGGCUCUAGAAUUUGCUAGAACACGGUAGCAACAGAAACCGUCCCCGAGCUUCUGAUUGGACGGAGUGAUUGUUUGUUUGGCCAGCGAUUGGUUGCCGUGUUACAGUAAAGGCGUCGUCUUUUCCCAGUGAGUGUGGGUCAUGUACAAUGCCUGGCAUGUUGUCAACGCUUAGGUGAUAGUGGACAACAGAGGUACAGUGAGUUUUCAUAUGUUCCUGAAACAAAGUGACCCAGGUGAUUAAACACGCGAAGCAUCUGAGAUUUAGGUCUGCGGUCUCCCAAAUUGGCCAUGGGAACCAACGCAGCACUGUGGAGAGCUAUUGAAAAUCAGGUUCAAAUACUGACCAGUGAUUUGCCUCCCCACUUUUAGCUGCCACCAUUAUUUCAACAAGCCACAGCACUGUAAAAUAAAUCACAGAGCCAAAGCUCUGAUGAGGGUCUGUA